rnacentral:rRNA from 1 species
CCUACGGGUGGCAGCAGUAGGGAAUCUUUCACAAUGGGCGAAAGCCUGAUGGAGCAACGCCGCGUGCAGGAUGAAGGCCUUCGGGUUGUAAACUGCUUUUAUAAGCGAGAAAUAUGAUGGUACCUUAUGAAUAAGGAUCGGCUAACUACGUGCCAGCAGCCGCGGUCAUACGUAGGAGCCGAGCAUUAUCCGGAGUGACUGGGUGUAAAGAGUUGCGUAGGUGGCAUAAUAAGUAGCUAGUGAAAUCUGGUGGCUCAACCAUUCAGACUAUUAGCUAAACUGUUAAGCUCGAGACCGUUAGGAGUAACUGGAAUGUGUAGUGUAGGAGUGAAAUCCGUAGAUAUUAGAAGGAACACCAAUAGCGUAGGCAGGUUGCUGGGACGGUUCUGACACUAAGGCACGAAAGCGUAGGGAGCAAACGGGAUUAGAUACCCCUGUAGUC